UGUGACUUAAAGUUUAACGGCCGCGGUAUUUUGACCGUGCGAAGGUAGCGCAAUCACUUGUCUUUUAAAUGAAGACCCGUAUGAAUGGCACCACGAGGGCUUAGCUGUCUCCUUUUUCCAGUCAAUGAAAUUGAUCUCCCCGUGCAGAAGCGGGGAUAUUAACAUAAGACGAGAAGACCCUAUGGAGCUUUAGACCUAGUGCAGCCCAUGCAAAAUACUUUAACACAAAAAGAUAAAGCCCAACGGCCCCCGCACAGCUGUCUUUGGUUGGGGCGACCACGGGAAAAAACAAAACCCCCACGAGGACUGGGAGCACAAGCCACCCAAAACCAAGAGUUACAACUCUAAGUACCAGAAAAUCUGACCUAACAUGAUCCGGGCAACCGAUCAACGAACCAAGUUACCCUAGGGAUAACAGCGCAAUACCCUUCCAGAGCCCAUAUCGACAAGGGAGCUUACGACCUCGAUGUUGGAUCAGGACAUCCUAAUGGUGCAGCCGCUAUUAAGGGUUCGUUUGUUCAACGAUUAAAGUCCUACGUGAUCU
rnacentral:rRNA from 1 species